UACGGAGGAUGCAAGCGUUAUCCGGAAUGAUUGGGCGUAAAGCGUCCGCAGGUGGCUGUGUAAGUCUGCUGUUAAAGAGUCUAGCUCAACUAGAUAAGAGCAGUGGAAACUACACGGCUAGAGUACGUUCGGGGCAGAGGGAAUUCCUGGUGUAGCGGUGAAAUGCGUAGAGAUCAGGAAGAACACCGGUGGCGAAGGCGGCAUCCUGGACUGGUCCUGACACUCAGGAGCGAAAGCGUGGGGAGCGAUCCGG
rnacentral:rRNA from 1 species